rnacentral:rRNA from 1 species
GAUGAACGCUGACAGCAUGCUUAACACAUGCAAGUCAACUGUGGCGGACGGGUGAGUAACGCGUAAAGAACUUGCCUCGCAGUUCGGGACAACAUUUGGAAACGAAUGCCAAUACCUGAUACUUUGAGAGAGCUUUGCUUCCCAUUAGCUGGUUGGAGAGGUCACGGCUCACCAAGGCGAGGAUGGGUAGCCGGCCUGAGAGGGUGAUCGGCCACAAGGGGACCGAGAACGGGCCCUUACUCUGACGGAGGGCAGCAGUGGGGAAUAUUGGACAAUGGACCAAAGUCUGAUCCAGCAAUUCUGUUUGCACGAUGAAGUUUUCGGAAUGUAAAGUGCUUUCAGGUGGGAAGCGGUACCAUCAGAAGAAGUGACGGCUAAAUACGUGCCAGCAGCCGCGGUAAUUC